rnacentral:lncRNA from 1 species
GCGAGCUAUGAUUUCAAUUUCCAGAACUUGAGCUUCCGGGCCUUAGCAUGCCCGGCCCCCUUUUUCACGGCUCAGAUGUGCGCAUGCGCUGUCUGAGCAAGCGCUGUUCUGCUUCCCUUGCAGCCGAGCUGAACGUCAUUGCACCUAUCAUAUCCAACUUCUUCCUGGCCUCAUAUGCGCUUAUUAAUUUCUCCUGCUUCCAUGCCUCGUAUGCCAAAUCGCCAGGUAAGCCGGAAUGAAAACAUUAACCUAAGCGAGCAGUUAGUUUGUCUCGAUAAAUGAAAUAAGUCCGUGAGAAGUGUUCAAUCUGUGUUUUUAUGUUUUCUUAUAUCUUUGUAGGCAGC